rnacentral:rRNA from 1 species
GACGAACGCUGGCGGCGUGCUUAACACAUGCAAGUCGAACGAUGAAACCUAGCUUGCUAGGUCGAUUAGUGGCGAACGGCUGAGUAACACGUGACUAACCUGCCCCUUUCUCUGGGCUAACGCUCCGCAAGGAGUGCUAAUACCGGACACCCCCACCGAGGCACACGCCUCGAUGUGGAAAGUUUUUCGGAAAGGGAUGGUGUCGCGGCCUAUCAGCGUGUUGGUGAGGUAACGGCUCACCAAGCCGACGACGGGUAGCCGGCCUGAGAGGGCGACCGGCCACACUGGGACUGAGACACGGCCCAGACUCCUACGGGAGGCAGCAGUGGGGAAUAUUGCACAAUGGGCGCAAGCCUGAUGCAGCGACGCCGCGUGAGGGAUGAAGGUCUUCGGAUUGUAAACCUCUUUCAGUAGGGACGAAGCGAAAGUGACGGUACCUAAAGAAGAAGCACCGGCUAACUACGUGCCAGCAGCCGCGGUAA